rnacentral:rRNA from 1 species
UACGAAGGGGGCUAGCGUUGCUCGGAAUUACUGGGCGUAAAGCGCACGUAGGCGGCUUUCUAAGUCGGGGGUGAAAUCCUGGAGCUCAACUCCAGAACUGCCUUCGAUACUGGAGAGCUCGAGUCCGGGAGAGGUGAGUGGAACUGCGAGUGUAGAGGUGAAAUUCGUAGAUAUUCGCAAGAACACCAGUGGUGAAGACGGCGCCCUGGGACAUUACUGACGCUGAGCUGCGAAAGCGUGGGGAGCGAUCCGG